rnacentral:rRNA from 1 species
GACGAACCGUGCGAACGUUAUUCGGAAUCACUGGGCUUAAAGCGCGUGUAGGCGGAUGGGUGCGUCGGCUUCUGAAAGCCCCCGGCUCAACCGGGGAAGUGGGGCCGAAACGACCCGUCUGGAGGGACGUAGGGGGAUCUGGAACUUCCGGUGGAGCGGUGAAAUGCGUUGAGAUCGGAAGGAACGCCCGUGGCGAAAGCGAGAUCCUGGACGUUUUCUGACGCUGAGACGCGAAAGCUAGGGGAGCAAACGGG